GAUGAACGCUGGCGGCGUGCCUAAUACAUGCAAGUCGAGCGAACAGACGAGGAGCUUGCUCCUCUGACGUUAGCGGCGGACGGGUGAGUAACACGUGGAUAACCUACCUAUAAGACUGGGAUAACUUCGGGAAACCGGAGCUAAUACCGGAUAAUAUAUUGAACCGCAUGGUUCAAUAGUGAAAGAUGGUUUUGCUGUCACUUAUAGAUGGAUCCGCGCCGCAUUAGCUAGUUGGUAAGGUAACGGCUUACCAAGGCAACGAUGCGUAGCCGACCUGAGAGGGUGAUCGGCCACACUGGAACUGAGACACGGUCCAGACUCCUACGGGAGGCAGCAGUAGGGAAUCUUCCGCAAUGGGCGAAAGCCUGACGGAGCAACGCCGCGUGAGUGAUGAAGGUCUUCGGAUCGUAAAACUCUGUUAUUAGGGAAGAACAAAUGUGUAAGUAACGAUGCACGUCUUGACGGUACCUAAUCAGAAAGCCACGGCUAACUACGU
rnacentral:rRNA from 1 species